GCCUGGGUGGCUCAGUUGGUUAAGCAUCUGACUUUGGCUCAGGUCAUGAUCUCACGAUUUGUGGGUUCAAGCCCUGCAUCGGGCU
rnacentral:tRNA from 1 species